rnacentral:rRNA from 1 species
GGGUUGACUUGCUCAGAAGAUUUGUCAGUCGAGCGGUAACAGAUCUAGCUUGCUAGAUGCUGACGAGCGGCGGACGGGUGAGUAAUGCAUAGGAAUCUACCUAGUAGCGGGGGACAACCUGGUGAAAACCAGGCUAAUACCGCAUAAUCCCUACGGGGCAAAGCAGGGGACCUUCGGGCCUAGUAGAUGAGCCUAUGUCGGAUUAGCUAGUUGGUGAGGUAAUGGCUCACCGAGGCAACGAUCCGUAGCUGGUUUGAGAGGAUGAUCAGCCACACUGGGACUGAGACACGGCCCGAACUCCUACGGGAGGCAGCAGUGGGGAAUAUUGGACAAUGGGGGCAACCCUGAUCCAGCCAUGCCGCGUGUGUGAAGAAGGCCUUAGGGUUGUAAAGCACUUUCAGUAGGGAGGAAAAGUAAGUAGUUAAUAACUGCUUACCCUGACGUUACCUACAGAAGAAGCACCGGCUAACUCCGUGCCAGCAGCCGCGGUAAUACGGAGGGUGCAAGCGUUAAUCGGAAUUACUGGGCGUAAAGCGCGCGUAGGUGGUUUGAUAAGCGAGAUGUGAAAGCCCCGGGCUUAACCUGGGAACUGCAUUUCGAACUGGCAGGCUAGAGUAUGGUAGAGGUGAGUGGAAUUUCCAGUGUAGCGGUGAAAUGCGUAGAGAUCUGAAGGAAUACCGGUGGCGAAGGCGGCCCCCUGGAUUGAUACUGACACUGAGGUGCGAAAGCGUGGGUAGCAAAACAGGAUUAGAUACCCUGGUAGUCCACGCCGUAAACGAUGUCUACUAGCCGUUGGAAGACUUGAUCUUUUAGUGGCGCAGCUAACGCAAUAAGUAGACCGCCUGGGGAGUACGGUCGCAAGAUUAAAACUCAAAUGAAUUGACGGGGGCCCGCACAAGCGGUGGAGCAUGUGGUUUAAUUCGACGCAACGCGAAGAACCUUACCUACUCUUGACAUCCUGCGAACCUUGUGGAGACACGAGGGUGCCUUCGGGAACGCAGUGACAGGUGCUGCAUGGCUGUCGUCAGCUCGUGUUGUGAAAUGUUGGGUUAAGUCCCGUAACGAGCGCAACCCUUGUCCUUAUUUGCCAGCACGUAAUGGUGGGAACUCUAAGGAGACUGCCGGUGACAAACCGGAGGAAGGUGGGGACGACGUCAAGUCAUCAUGGCCCUUACGUGUAGGGCUACACACGUGCUACAAUGGCCGGUACAGAGGGCUGCGAACUCGCGAGAGUAAGCUAAUCCCUUAAAACCGGUCGUAGUCCGGAUCGGAGUCUGCAACUCGACUCCGUGAAGUCGGAAUCGCUAGUAAUCGCGAAUCAGAAUGCCGCGGUGAAUACGUUCCCGGGCCUUGUACACACCGCCCGUCACACCAUGGGAGUGGGUUGCACCAGAAGUCAGUAGCUUAACUUUGGAGGGCGCUGACCACGGUGUGGUUCAUGACUGGGGUGAAGUCCUAACUAGAAUUUACAGCCG